GACGAACGCUGGCGGCGUGCUUAACACAUGCAAGUCGAACGGAGUGGCGAACGGGUGAGUAACACGUGGGUGACCUGCCCUGCACUUCGGGAUAAGCCUGGGAAACUGGGUCUAAUACCGGAUAGUGUGGGAGGGGCCGGGGGCCUAUCGGCUGGUGGGGGGGGUAAGGGCCUACCAAGGCGGCGACGGGUGGCCGGCCUGGGGGGGGGGACGGCCACAGUGGGACUGAGACACGUCCCAGACUCCGACGGGAGGCAGCAGUGGGGAGUAUUGCACAAUGGGCGGAAGCCUGAGGCAGCGACGCCGCGGGGGGGAUGACGGCCUUCGGGUUGUAAACUCCUUUCACCAUCGACGCGGUAGAUGGAGAAGAAGCACCGGCUAACUACGUGCCAGCAGCCGCGGUAAUUC
rnacentral:rRNA from 1 species